UAUCCCUCAUCUUCAUGAUGCUUUUUACUAGUAUCACGAAGAACGUCAGAACGAAUUUUUCCGGUUUGCUCCAUAAAUUGGAGAUUUUUUCCACUCAAUGGAAUCUCGAAUAUUUUAGCAAAGCCUUCUUUCCUAAAGUUAGGGGAAAAAGACUGGCAAUUAUCACAUUGUUUGCGAGAUGAAAUGGCAUGGUAGAAGGCACGCACAACUUUUUUCCUCUCGUGUAAAAGAAGUGUAGUCAACUGAGCAUCGAUAUGAGCGUUCUGGCGUGAGUCAGCAAUAGACUUAGCAACGAAUUCAUCGCGAAUGCGCAUAAGUGUUGCAGCAUCUUUAGCAAUAUCAUCGUGUCCAAGACCACUGUCCUCGCUGUCACUUCCAUCUUCAAGUGGAGUGCCGUUAGAAUUCUUUAUGAUUGCCUCAGUAAGACUGACAUUCUCCACCAUCUCUGACUCAUUUAAAAGACCAUAAUCAAGCA